CGGAGUGGGGAUAGUCGGCUUGGAGGGGCGACACAAAGACGGUCCUUUGACUUACUUUUACAGUUACCAGUUCAGUUGUGUUUUGGUCUUCGAGGAGAGAACUUAGAAAUUUUCGCGGAGGCUAUUCGUGCGAUUAUUAACGAACAGACUAAAGUUGCGGAGUGGGGAUAGUCGGCCUGGAGGGACGACAACAAAGACGGUCCUUUGACUUACUUUUACAGUUACCAGUUCAGUUGUGUUUUGGUCUUCGAGGAGAGAACUUAGAAAUUUUCGCGGAGGCUAUUCGUGCGAUUAUUAACGAACAGACUAAAGUUGCGGAGUGGGGAUAGUCGGCCUGGAGGGACGACAACAAAGACGGUCCUUUGACUUACUUUUACAGUUACCAGUUCAGUUGUGUUUUGGUCUUCGAGGAGAGAACUUAGAAAUUUUCGCGGAGGCUAUUCGUGCGAUUAUUAACGAACAGACUAAAGUUGCGGAGUGGGGAUAGUCGGCCUGGAGGGACGACAACAAAGACGGUCCUUUGACUUACUUUUACAGUUACCAGUUCAGUUGUGUUUUGGUCUUCGAGGAGAGAACUUAGAAAUUUUCGCGGAGGCCGUUCGUGCGAUUAUUAACAUACAGGUAGUUUAAAUAUAUAUCUGUAUCACUCUUGCGUACAAUAUUCUAUACAGUUUGUUGGAUUUUAGACUAAAGUUGCGGAGUGGGGAUAGUCGGCUUGGAGGGGCGACACAAAGACGGUCCUUUGACUUACUUUUACAGUUACCAGUUCAGUUGUGUUUUGGUCUUCGAGGAGAGAACUUAGAAAUUUUCGCGGAGGCCGUUCGUGCGAUUAUUAACAUACAGGUAGUUUAAAUAUAUAUCUGUAUCACUCUUGCGUACAAUAUUCUAUACAGUUUGUUGGAUUUUAGACUAAAGUUGCGGAGUGGGGAUAGUCGGCUUGGAGGGGCGACACAAAGACGGUCCUUUGACUUACUUUUACAGUUACCAGUUCAGUUGUGUUUUGGUCUUCGAGGAGAGAACUUAGAAAUUUUCGCGGAGGCCGUUCGUGCGAUUAUUAACAUACAGGUAGUUUAAAUAUAUAUCUGUAUCACUCAUGCGUACA